rnacentral:lncRNA from 1 species
AGUCCACCAACUGAGCAGUUAAUGAAAGCAGGCAGCAUAGUACAGUCCUCCAGUUAUUUCUAAAAUUUUGAUUAAUUGGUCGAUCCAUUCUUGAACAAACUAAGGAAAAUAGUUACCCCACCCCCGAAGAAAUAGAGUGAAGCUGUAAUUCCAGUCUGAAGGUGAUAUUGAUCAGAAAACAACAAAGAUGUUCUUUUCUUCACACUCCUGCAUGAUGUCCAACUCUUAUUCAAAGUCUAAUACUGUGACAUUUUUUCAAAGUCUUUUUGCCUAUGGUAUACGUAUAUUGGAAAUUCCAUGGGAUACAUGUGACCACCAUAAA